UGGGAAUAUAGCUCAGUUGGUAGAGUGCUUGCCUAGAGUGCACAAGACCCUGGAUUCAAUCCCUGGCCUCAA
rnacentral:tRNA from 1 species